GACGAACGCUGGCGGCGUGCUUGACACAUGCAAGUCGAACGGAAAGGCCUGCUUUCCCUUGUGGAUUGCGGGUACUCGAGUGGCGAACGGGUGAGUAACACGUGAGUGAUCUGCCCCCAACUUGGGUAUAAGCCUGGGAAACUGGGUCUAAUUCCCGAUAGGACUGCAGGGUGGUGCCUGUGGUGGAAAACGAUUUUCUAGUGGUUGGGGAUGAGCUCGCGGCCUAUCAGCUUGUUGGUGGGGUAAUGGCCUACCAAGGCGGCGACGGGUAGCCGGCCUGAGAGGGUGGACGGCCACAUUGGGACUGAGAUACGGCCCAGACUCCUACGGGAGGCAGCAGUGGGGAAUAGUGCACAAUGGGCGGAAGCCUGAUGCAGCGACGCCGCGUGGGGGAUGACGGCCUUCGGGUUGUAAACUCCUUUCGACCGCGAGGAAGCCACCUGGUUGGAAGGGUGGUGACGGUAGUGGUAGAAGAAGCACCGGCUAACUACGUG
rnacentral:rRNA from 1 species